rnacentral:rRNA from 1 species
GAUGAACGCUGGCGGCGUGCCUAAUACAUGCAAAUCGAGCGAACAGACGAGGAGCUUACUCCUCUGACGUUAGCGGCGGACGGGUGAGUAACACGUGGAUAACCUACCUAUAAGACUGGGAUAACUUCGGGAAACCGGAGCUAAUACCGGAUAACAUGUUGAACCGCAUGGUUCAACAGUGAAAGACGGUCUUGCUGUCACUUAUAGAUGGAUCCGCGUCGCAUUAGCUAGUUGGUAAGGUAACGGCUUACCAAGGCAACGAUGCGUAGCCGACCUGAGAGGGUGAUCGGCCACACUGGAACUGAGACACGGUCCAGACUCCUACGGGAGGCAGCAGUAGGGAAUCUUCCGCAAUGGGCGAAAGCCUGACGGAGCAACGCCGCGUGAGUGAAGAAGGUCUUCGGAUCGUAAAACUCUGUUAUUAGGGAAGAACAAAUGUGUAAGUAACUAUGCACGUCUUGACGGUACCUAAUCAGAAAGCCACGGCUAACUACGUG